rnacentral:rRNA from 1 species
GACGAACGCUGGCGGCGUGCCUAAUACAUGCAAGUAGAACGCUGAAGGAGGAGCUUGCUUCUCUGGAUGAGUUGCGAACGGGUGAGUAACGCGUAGGUAACCUGCCUGGUAGCGGGGGAUAACUAUUGGAAACGAUAGCUAAUACCGCAUAAUAGCAGUUGUUGCAUGACAACUGUUUGAAAGGUGCAAUUGCACCACUACCAGAUGGACCUGCGUUGUAUCAGCUAGUUGGUGGGGUAACGGCUCACCAAGGCGACGAUACAUAGCCGACCUGAGAGGGUGAUCGGCCACACUGGGACUGAGACACGGCCCAGACUCCUACGGGAGGCAGCAGUAGGGAAUCUUCGGCAAUGGACGGAAGUCUGACCGAGCAACGCCGCGUGAGUGAAGAAGGUUUUCGGAUCGUAAAGCUCUGUUGUAAGAGAAGAACGAGUGUGAGAGUGGAAAGUUCACACUGUGACGGUAUCUUACCAGAAAGGGACGGCUAACUACGUG